rnacentral:rRNA from 1 species
UACGUAGGGAGCGAGCGUUGUCCGGAUUCAUUGGGCGUAAAGAGCUCGUAGGCGGCUUGGCAAGUCGGGUGUGAAAACUCCAGGCUCAACCUGGAGACGCCACCCGAUACUGCCAUGGCUAGAGUCCGGUAGGGGACCACGGAAUUCCUGGUGUAGCGGUGAAAUGCGCAGAUAUCAGGAGGAACACCCAUGGCGAAGGCAGCAAACUGGUCAUCAACUGACGCUGAGGCGCGAAAGCGUGGGGAGCAAACAGG